AGAGAGAGAGAGAGAAGAGAAGAACAAAAAUACUGCUGAAACUGGAUGUUUGUCUAAAUAGGCAAAAAAAUGGGGAAAUGGAAUGCUUGCUUGCUGGCUUUCAGCCUUUAUUAAUCCAAUCAAAAUAACAAAGGUGAAAGGACAACAAGCUGUAAUUAUGUUUGCUUUCGUUGUUGUGUCACAGAGAGAAGCACUAUUUAAAAAAAUAAUGCAAAUGACAGAGGUCACGACAACUUCUCAACUUCACUCUGCCCUCCUCGAAUGGCCAUUGUCUCUUUCGCGGUUUUGCCUACCCUCG
rnacentral:misc_RNA from 1 species